GAUGAACGCUGGCGGCGUGCCUAAUACAUGCGAGUCGAGCGAACAGACGAGGAGCUUGCUCCUCUGACGUUAGCGGCGGACGGGUGAGUAACAUGUGGAUAACCUACCUAUAAGACUGGGAUAACUUCGGGAAACCGGAGCUAAUACCGGAUAAUAUAUUGAACCGCAUGGUUCAAUAGUGAAAGACGGUUUUGCUGUCACUUAUAGAUGGAUCCGCGCCGCAUUAGCUAGUUGGUAAGGUAACGGCUUACCAAGGCAACGAUGCGUAGCCGACCUGAGAGGGUGAUCGGCCACACUGGAACUGAGACACGGUCCAGACUCCUACGGGAGGCAGCAGUAGGGAAUCUUCCGCAAUGGGCGAAAGCCUGACGGAGCAACGCCGCGUGAGUGAUGAAGGUCUUCGGAUCGUAAAACUCUGUUAUUAGGGAAGAACAAAUGUGUAAGUAACUAUGCACGUCUUGACGGUACCUAAUCAGAAAGCCACGGCUAACUACGUG
rnacentral:rRNA from 1 species